rnacentral:rRNA from 1 species
UGGGGAAUUUUGGACAAUGGGGGAAACCCUGAUCCAGCCAUCCCGCGUGUGCGAUGAAGGCCUUCGGGUUGUAAAGCACUUUUGGCAGGAAAGAAACGUCAUGGGUUAAUACCCCGUGAAACUGACGGUACCUGCAGAAUAAGCACCGGCUAACUACGUGCCAGCAGCCGCGGUAAUACGUAGGGUGCAAGCGUUAAUCGGAAUUACUGGGCGUAAAGCGUGCGCAGGCGGUUCGGAAAGAAAGAUGUGAAAUCCCAGAGCUCAACUUUGGAACUGCAUUUUUAACUACCGGGCUAGAGUGUGGCAGAGGGAGGUGGAAUUCCGCGUGUAGCAGUGAAAUGCGUAGAUAUGCGGAGGAACACCGAUGGCGAAGGCAGCCUCCUGAGAUAACACUGACGCUCAUGCACGAAAGCGUGGGGAGCAAACAGG